ACACGGCCCAAACUCCUACGGGAGGCAGCAGUGGGGAAUAUUGCACAAUGGGGGAAACCCUGAUGCAGCGACGCCGCGUGAGCGAAGAAGUAUUUCGGUAUGUAAAGCUCUAUCAGCAGGGAAGAAGAAUGACGGUACCUGACUAAGAAGCACCGGCUAAAUACGUGCCAGCAGCCGCGGUAAUACGUAUGGUGCAAGCGUUAUCCGGAUUUACUGGGUGUAAAGGGAGCGCAGGCGGUGCGGCAAGUCUGAUGUGAAAGCCCGGGGCUCAACCCCGGUACUGCAUUGGAAACUGUCGUACUAGAGUGUCGGAGGGGUAAGUGGAAUUCCUAGUGUAGCGGUGAAAUGCGUAGAUAUUAGGAGGAACACCAGUGGCGAAGGCGGCUUACUGGACGAUAACUGACGCUGAGGCUCGAAAGCGUGGGG
rnacentral:rRNA from 1 species